AGCAGUCGCCGCGGGAAUACGUAGGUGGCAAGCGUUGUCCGGAAUUAUUGGGCGUAAAGCGCGCGCAGGCGGUUUCUUAAGUCUGAUGUGAAAGCCCCCGGCUUAACCGGGGAGGGUCAUUGGAAACUGGGAGACUUAGAGUGCAGAAGAGGAGAGUGGAAUUCCAUGUGUAGCGGUGAAAUGCGUAGAUAUAUGGAGGAACACCAGUGGCGAAGGCGACUCUCUGGUCUGUAACUGACGCUGAGGCGCGAAAGCGUGGGGAGCAAACAGGAUUAGAUACCCCGGUAGUCCCUGUCUCUUAUA
rnacentral:rRNA from 1 species